GAUGAACGCUGGCGGCGUGCCUAAUACAUGCAAGUCGAGCGAACAGACGAGGAGCUUGCUCCUCUGACGUUAGCGGCGGAAGGGUGAGUAACACGUGGAUAACCUACCUAUAAGACUGGGAUAACUUCGGGAAACCGGAGCUAAUACCGGAUAAUAUAUUGAACCGCAUGGUUCAAUAGUGAAAGACGGUUUUGCUGUCACUUAUAGAUGGAUCCGCGCCGCAUUAGCUAGUUGGUAAGGUAACGGCUUACCAAGGCAACGAUGCGUAGCCGACCUGAGAGGGUGAUAGGCCACACUGGAACUGAGACACGGUCCAGACUCCUACGGGAGGCAGCAGUAGGGAAUCUUCCGCAAUGGGCGAAAGCCUGACGGAGCAACGCCGCGUGAGUGAUGAAGGUCUUCGGAUCGUAAAACUCUGUUAUUAGGGAAGAACAAAUGUGUAAGUAACUAUGCACGUCUUGACGGUACCUAAUCAGAAAGCCACGGCUAACUACGUG
rnacentral:rRNA from 1 species